rnacentral:tRNA from 1 species
GCGGGCGUAAUUCAGUGGUAGAAUGUCAGCUUCCCAAGCUGAACGUCAGGGGUUCGAGUCCCCUCGUCCGCU